GCCCCCGUAGCCCAAUUGGCAGAGGCAGACGACUUAAACUCGUCAGAGUGUCGGUUCGAUCCCGACCGGGGGCACCA
rnacentral:tRNA from 1 species